AUGUAAUAGGCUCUCGGAAGAAAAUCAGAAUUUGUAGGUAGUUUCAAUUUUAUGUGCAAAACUAAUUAUCUAAGAGGUAUUGUCUCAUCCCCUGGUUGGCUAUUUACCUUUGGAGUACGUGCAUAGUUAGGCAAUGUAGUACUACUGUUACUUUGGUAUUGCACUUACGGAUGUGGGUAACAGUGACAUUGUUACGCAAGUUAAUUUGUAAGUUGAACCUGAUAUACGUUUGAUUUAAAUCUUGAGAUUAAAGCUGAAAGUGAAACUUCUAUCUUCAAGUUCUACGCCCCAGCGCAGGACUAAGCUAGUAGCAGUACGAGAACAGGAAAUUGACACUGUAUUUUAGUAAAAUUUUUACUAGAAAAAAUCUUGCACACCAGUGAACUACUACAGGAGUCAUGUUCCAGUUUCAAAAUCCACAAAACAUGCAAUACAUUACAAGAAUGAGGUGUGGGGGAGUAUUAGCUUUUGCUGGGUUUGGACUGAUUUUCAUGGGUUGUUUUGUCACUGGUUUUGCAUAUAAACCAAGGUAUCCUCCUUUUGAUGAUCCCUUUUUUGACAGGGGUCCACAGCCAGAUAAAAUAAUUGGACCAGUGCUUCUUGUUUUGGGCUUUACAAUACUAGUGUUUGGAAUUAUUUUGUAUAUCAGAACAAAGACAAUGCUACAAUCUGUAGUCCAAUGGCAACCACAACAAGUGGUAAACACACAACCACCUCUCUUGUCAGGUGCUACACCUUUUCAGCCUUAUCCACCACCACCAGGAGCAAACGUUUUUGAUGGAAGACCAAAUCAACAUUUCUAUGGAUCAGGGAGAGUUAACCCUCCCAAUGAACCCAUCAAUCAACCUUUUCCAAAUUAUGCACCACCACCCUAUCCAGCCUAUACUGGAGAGAACCAACAUCUUAAUGAUCCACCAGUACCAACUGCUCCUGACUUUUCUUCUACAAAACAGACUGCUGACUACUAGUUUUGCACCUGACUAGAAUGGAUUGCCAAACACACAGAUAUUUCUUAAAAGCCAAUUUUGAACUUAUUGACGAGAGGGAAAGCAGCUAGCCAACAGUACCCAACACCAGAUAGUGGGAUUUGUUAUAAAAUACCUACAGCAGAGCAAAAAUUUUUUUUUUGUGACUGGAAAUGAUUCAUAGCCUUGGUUGGCACAUUGUAUAUAAUUUAAGACUAAAUGUCUGAUACUUGGUAUUAAGUACUUUGCCUCUCAUAUUUCUUUUUUAACAUUACAGUACAUGUAAUUCUAAGUUUGGACAUUAGGUAUUUUUGAGAUAAAAGAAUAAUUUAUAAUAUUGGCAUUAUGUGAAUAAAUAACUGUGACAUUACAUAUUUUAUUUUAAUUUUUUUACUGUACCUAUCUAAUAACUAUGCAACUGACAAAUGUUUGAGAACGUGUAUAGAGAUGUAUUAACUUAGCAAAAUGUUAAAGAUACCAAUUUCUAUGUUGUCCUUUUUUAAUGCAAACAGUGAUGAAAGAACAGGUUACAUUUGUGGUUUUUAAAAACUAUAGUUUAUUUUUGACAAUAUAUAUAUAUAUAUAUUUUGAAAUAUUUUUGUACAUACAAAUACCCACUUCAUACUUAUGUUAAACUACAGAAAAUUGAAAAUGCUAUUUUGUGAGCUGUCAGCUAAAAUAGGCUCCAGUUUACAUUUCUUUUUUGGAUGUGUUGUGCAUUCUUGACUUUUUUUGGCGUGUCUUACCUGUAGAAAAUAGAUUAAUAGUAGUUCAAUAAAAACAAAAGCCUCUGAAUAUGUUAAAAAGAUCUAAUCAAAAACACCUUAGGUUACCAAAAAAAAGAAUAAAAUCAAACUGGUAGCUACACUUACAGCAAAUAUUCAUUCAUUAGAUAGCCAGGCUGCAUUUUUUGUUAACUUUGGGCAUGGUGGUGAGUAAAACAAAAUACAUGGCCUAGCUAACUAAUUAAUAAAAAUAUUUGUGUAAAAUUCUUAUCAAUGCUAUAAGUGUAGCUACCAGUUUGAUUUUAUUCUUUUUUUGGCACCUAAGGUGUUUAUGAUUUGGAUAUUAUAAAUUUUUGUCAAUACACACAAACAAACCAUAGCAAGUACAAAAGUGACACUCGAUAGUAGACCCACAUUAACUUUAGGGUUGCAACCUUAUUAUUUGGAACAGACCCUUACAGAACCAACCAGAUUCCUUAAAAUAUAUAGGGGUAGUUUUUACUUUCAAAAACAGGGUUAAUAACUUCCUUUAUAGUAACACCAUGAAAUUUAGAUUCAGUUUCUUGUCAUAACCCACAUGCACGUUGUAUAGCUGUAGCAAGCGUCAUUAUAAAUGCCAGUAUCACGUGACACUAGAUGCUCUUUAAUUAGAAGCAUUUUGUUAAAUUUAGUUAAUUUUUGCUUAAAAGUUGGCAAUGAAUAAUAACUGUCCACCCAUAUGAUUCUUUUGUAAAUUUGAGCUAAAAACUGCUAAUAUAGUUUGCUUGGUCUAACCAACAUUUAGGUAUCUGCAUGUGCUUUCACCCUGUAGUUUUGCUGCUCUAAAUCAACUGUCUUUAAUCUGAAUGACAAAAACAACCUACCUUUACUCUCAGGUGAAGCUUAGACUGAUAGCUCACAUUACUUUUUGUGUAGACGUGCUUAAAAUUGAAUGUUUUUUGUUGAAUAACUUUGCACAUGGGCUUAUAGUUGAAAAAAACAAACAAAAUCUAUGAAAGUUAAGUAUGUUUUUUUAAUUAAAUAAUGUUUCCCUACUACUAAUGUAAAGAAAAAAAAAGAAAUUCAAUCAAAAUUGGAGAUUUUUAUACUUCUUGUAUUUCUUAAUGGAUUGCCUCAAAAUUUGGUAUAUAAAGUAAGGGUCCAGUGGAGCACAUCUACUGAAAAUAUGAUAGUUUGGAUCACCACAGUUGGAAAAUUGCUAAACUAUCACUCCUGCUCAAAACAAUCUGCAAGACGCGGUGUCUUGGCCACAUGACACACUUCCACGCGUCUUGAUUAAAACAUAGUUUUACAAGAUAAUAAUAUGAACCAAUGUUAGACCCUGAGUAAUUAGUAGUUACAUAUCUCAAAUAAUAAAAUUUUCCAGCAUUGAAUUAAAUGAAACAUAUAAUCAAAACACCAGCAAUGGACUUCAGAAAUUUUCUGUCAAACAUUGUUAAUAUAAAAGCAAUAACCAAUUUUUGUUUUCAUUCUUUCAACCAUAUUUAACUUACACUAGACUUCUUCGAUGGAGAAACUGUCUGGAAAACAAAAUUUUUGGCACUCCGCGGGCCUGAUACACUGCUGUCACUGGCACUUUUUAGUUUUUCUGCAAGGCGUGAUAAAGUAUUUCCAUCUCGACAAAGGAAUGAUCCUUUCCGAGUCUAGAAUAGAGACCAAGUAUCACCAAGUUAGACAAAUAAUAUGAAUGUAUUCUAAUCAUACGAAAUAAAUAUGCAAUGAUUGUCCAUUAUCUAACUACUCUUAGAGCACACAAAUAUCAUAUAUUUCGGAGAGUAUACAAUGAAAAAAAAUAGCUGCCCCUAUUGCAAUAUACAUAAACUCUGCUAAAAUUUCUACUCCAACAGCCACCAAAAGGUUGAUAUGAAAAGCAGUUUCUUGAGUUAUACCCACUUUCAACUUUGGCUUGUAAGGCACUUCUGCAGCCAAUGACCAUCAAUUAAUUAAUCAUGUGAAACACAGUGGGUGUUGGAAGCGGGUAAAAGAAAGCACCACUACCUCUUCCUACAAAGUCACCCUGACCAUCGUACAGUGUAUACCAUGUUCUAAGUAUAUACAUAUUGAAUUCUUAUAGCUUAUACAAAACUUUUGGUGAGGUAAUAAUGAAUACGGUAGUAAUAUGGUAUAAAUAAACUUUGUGAAAAUUAU